CAAGUCAUGGGGGUCCGCAAGGACAACCGGCGAACGGGUGCGUAACACGUAGCGACCUGCCUGAGUGCGGGGGAUAGCCGGCCCAACGGCCGGGUAAUACCGCAUACGCUUGUUUGAGGGCAUCCUUGGACAAGGAAACCUCCGGGGCACUCAGAGGGGCUCGCGGCCUAUCAGCUAGUUGGCGGGGUAAUGGCCCACCAAGGCGACGACGGGUAAGCUGGUCUGAGAGGAUGGCCAGCCACAUUGGGACUGAGAGACGGCCCAGACUCUCUACGGGAGGCAGCCAGUGGGGAAUCUUGCGCCAAUGGCCGAAAGGCUGACGCAGCGGCGCCGCGUGUGGGAGGAAGAUCUUCGGGGUGUAAACUCACUGUUGCCCGGGACGAAAUGAUGAGCAUUGGCUCUUUUGACGGGACCGGGU
rnacentral:rRNA from 1 species